rnacentral:tRNA from 1 species
GUUUUAAUAAUUUAUAUAAAAUAUUGGUCUUGUAAACCAAAAAUGAACUUUUCUUAAAACU